AUGUCUUCAGUAGCAUAUAUACUAAAAUCAGAAAGAUACAGAGAAGAUUGUCAUGGACCCUGUACAAGGAUAGCAUGCAAAUUUGUAAAGCAUUCCAUACUUUA